GGAUUACUAGGAGCUUAGUAGGAAAAAUUAUAUGACUUGCUACAGACUUCCUCAUAGCAUCAGGGUUAAAAAAAAUGGCUAAACAAGGCCUUAUGACAAUCAGAACACGGACUCUGGAAAGCAGAAAUGACGCCAUUUUUCUGAUUGAAAUUGUACAUCAGAGGUGCCUGGACAACAGACGAUUCUGUGAGCAAGCCAAAGCCCAUUUUCACAAGAAGUUACAAAGAUCCUAGAUUUGGUGUGCACACU